rnacentral:rRNA from 1 species
UACAGAGGGUCCCAAGCGUUGUUCGGAUUCAUUGGGCGUAAAGGGUGCGUAGGCGGCGCGGUAAGUCGGGUGUGAAACUCUCGGGGCUUGAACUCCGAAACUGCAUUCGAUACUGCCGUGCUUGAGGACUGGGAGAGGAGACUGGAAUUUACGGUGUAGCGGUGAAAUGCGUAGAUAUCGUAAGGAAGACCAGUGGCGAAGGCGGGUCUCUGGACAGUUCCUGACGCUGAGGCACGAAGGACCCAGGGGAGGCAAAACGGG